rnacentral:rRNA from 1 species
GAGUUAUCUGACCUUCGGGGGACGAUAACGGCGUCGAGCGGCGGACGGGUGAGUAUGCCUAGGAAAUUGCCCUGAUGUGGGGGAUAACCAUUGGAAACGAUGGCUAAUACCGCAUGAUGCCUACGGGCCAAAGAGGGGGACCUUCGGGCCUCUCGCGUCAGGAUAUGCCUAGGUGGGAUUAGCUAGUUGGUGAGGUAAGGGCUCACCAAGGCGACGAUCCCUAGCUGGUCUGAGAGGAUGAUCAGCCACACUGGAACUGAGACCGGUCCAGACUCCUACGGGAGGCAGCAGUGGGGAAUAUUGCACAAUGGGCGCAAGCCUGAUGCAGCCAUCCGCGUGUAUGAAGAAGGCCUUCGGGUUGUAAAGUACUUUCAGUCGUGAGGAAGGUGGUAGUGUUAAUAGACUAUCAUUUGACGUUAGCGACAGAAGAAGCACCGGCUAACUCCGUGCCAGCAGCCGCGGUAAUACGGAGGGUGCGAGCGUUAAUCGGAAUUACUGGGCGUAAAGCGCAUGCAGGUGGUUUGUUAAGUCAGAUGUGAAAGCCCGGGGCUCAACCUCGGAAUUGCAUUUGAAACUGGCAGACUAGAGUACUGUAGAGGGGGGUAGAAUUUCAGGUGUAGCGGUGAAAUGCGUAGAGAUCUGAAGGAAUACCGGUGGCGAAAGGCGGCCCCCUGGGACAGUACUGACACUCAGAUGC